GACCAGACUCCUACGGGAGGCAGCAGUGGGGAAUAUUGCACAAUGGGGGAAACCCUGAUGCAGCAACGCCGCGUGAAGGAAGACGGUUUUCGGAUUGUAAACUUCUGCUCUUAGUGAAGAAGAAUGACGGUAGCUAAGGAGCAAGCCACGGCUAACUACGUGCCAGCAGCCGCGGUAAUACGUAGGUGGCAAGCGUUGUCCGGAAUUACUGGGUGUAAAGGGAGCGCAGGCGGGAAGCCAAGUCGGCUGUGAAAACUACGGGCUUAACUUGUAGACUGCAGUUGAAACUGGUUUUCUUGAGUGAAGUAGAGGUUGGCGGAAUUCCGAGUGUAGCGGUGAAAUGCUUAGAUAUCACGAAGAACUCCGAUUGCGAAGGCAGCUUACUAAACUGCCACUGACAUUGAUGCUCGAAAGUGUGGGUAUCAAACAGGAUUAGAUACCCUCGUAUG
rnacentral:rRNA from 1 species